rnacentral:rRNA from 1 species
GAGUUUGAUCAUGGCUCAGAUUGAACGCUGGCGGAAUGCUUUACACAUGCAAGUCGAGCGGCAGCGCGGUCUUCGGACUGGCGGCGAGCGGCGAACGGGUGAGUAAUACAUCGGAACAUGCCCAGUCGUGGGGGAUAACACUUCGAAAGAAGUGCUAAUACCGCAUACGACCUGAGGGUGAAAGGGGGGGAUCGCAAGACCUCUCGCUAUUGGAGCGGCCGAUGUCAGAUUAGCUAGUUGGUGGGGUAAAGGCCUACCAAGGCAACGAUCUGUAGUCGGUCUGAGAGGACGACCAGCCACACUGGGACUGAGACACGGCCCAGACUCCUACGGGAGGCAGCAGUGGGGAAUUUUGGACAAUGGGCGCAAGCCUGAUCCAGCAAUGCCGCGUGCAGGAAGAAGGCCUUCGGGUUGUAAACUGCUUUUGUCAGGGAAGAAAUCUUCUGGGUUAAUACCUCGGGAGGAUGACGGUACCUGAAGAAUAAGCACCGGCUAACUACGUGCCAGCAGCCGCGGUA